rnacentral:rRNA from 1 species
AGAGUUUGAUCCUGGCUCAGAUUGAACGCUGGCGGCAUGCUUUACACAUGCAAGUCGAACGGUAACAGGGAGCUUGCUCCGCUGACGAGUGGCGAACGGGUGAGUAAUAUAUCGGAACGUACCCAAGAGUGGGGGAUAACGUAGCGAAAGUUACGCUAAUACCGCAUACGAUCUAAGGAUGAAAGCAGGGGACCUUCGGGCCUUGUGCUCCUGGAGCGGCCGAUAUCUGAUUAGCUAGUUGGUGAGGUAAAGGCUCACCAAGGCGACGAUCAGUAGCUGGUCUGAGAGGACGACCAGCCACACUGGAACUGAGACACGGUCCAGACUCCUACGGGAGGCAGCAGUGGGGAAUUUUGGACAAUGGGCGCAAGCCUGAUCCAGCAAUGCCGCGUGAGUGAAGAAGGCCUUCGGGUUGUAAAGCUCUUUUGUCAGGGAAGAAACGGCUGUGGCUAAUAUCCACGGCUAAUGACGGUACCUGAAGAAUAAGCACCGGCUAACUACGUGCCAGCAGCCGCGGUAAU